GACGAACGCUGGCGGCGUGCUUAACACAUGCAAGUCGAACGGAAAGGCCCUGCUUUUGUGGGGUGCUCGAGUGGCGAACGGGUGAGUAACACGUGAGUAACCUGCCCUUGACUUUGGGAUAACUUCAGGAAACUGGGGCUAAUACCGGAUAGGAGCUCCUGCUGCAUGGUGGGGGUUGGAAAGUUUCGGCGGUUGGGGAUGGACUCGCGGCUUAUCAGCUUGUUGGUGGGGUAGUGGCUUACCAAGGCUUUGACGGGUAGCCGGCCUGAGAGGGUGAGCGGCCACAGUGGGACUGAGAUACGGCCCAGACUCCUACGGGAGGCAGCAGUGGUGAAUAUUGCACAAUGGGCGGAAGCCUGAUGCAGGAACGCCGCGUGCGGGAUGACGGCCUUCGGGUUGUAAACCGCUUGCGCCUGUGACGAAGCGUGAGUGACGGUAAUGGGUAAAGAAGCACCGGCUAACUACGUG
rnacentral:rRNA from 1 species